GACGCUGUGGCUUAAUGGUUAGCACAUUGGACACCGGAUCGAGCGGUCUGGGUUCAAGCCCUGGCGGGGUCA